rnacentral:rRNA from 1 species
GAAAUUCCCCGGAAUCAAAGCUGCGAGCAAUCGCGGCGCCUUAGGAUGGACCCGCGGCCUAUCAGCUAGUUGGUGAGGUAAUGGCUCACCAAGGCUAAGACGGGUAGCCGGACUGAGAGGUUGAUCGGCCACACUGGAACUGAGACACGGUCCAGACUCCUACGGGAGGCAGCAGUGAGGAAUUUUGCGCAAUGGGCGAAAGCCUGACGCAGCGACGCCGCGUGGGGGAAGAAGGUCUUCGGGUUGUAAACCCCUUUCAUGAGAGAAAAAGCCCCGAGCAAUCGGGGUGAUGGUACCUCAAGAAGAAGCCACGGCUAACUCUGUGCCAGCAGCCGCGGUAAGACAGAGGUGGCAAGCGUUGUUCGGAUUUACUGGGCUUAAAGGGCGUGUAGGCGUCCUGAUAAGUCAGAUGUGGNAAGCCUUAGGCUCACCUAAGAAUUGCAUUUGAAACUGUCGGGAUCGAGUGAGGCAGGGAGGGCAGAAUUCCUGGUGUAGCGGUGAAUGCGUAAAUUUCAGGAAGAAGGCCUGGGGCCAAAGGUG